rnacentral:lncRNA from 1 species
UCAUGGCCAUCCCCUAGUAACAGACCAAGACCAUGGACAGUAGAAGAAGCAUGGUUGAUUCUCAAAAAGAGGAAGGCACCUUGCUGUUACACUGAAAAAAGGCUGCUCACAUCCUAAAAAGAAAACUGGCUGCUAUUUGCAUCUCACCCUGGUCUGUCCAAGCUCACACAAAAAACCUGGCCAUUGUCACUUCCCAAGGGGCUCACCACUUUUUGAAACUAAC